rnacentral:rRNA from 1 species
UACGUAGGGUGCAAGCGUUAAUCGGAAUUACUGGGCGUAAAGCGUGCGCAGGUGGUUGUGCAAGACAGAUGUGAAAUCCCCGGGCUUAACCUGGGAACUGCAUUUGUGACUGCACGGCUAGAGUGCGGCAGAGGGGGAUGGAAUUCCGCGUGUAGCAGUGAAAUGCGUAGAUAUGCGGAGGAACACCGAUGGCGAAGGCAAUCCCCUGGGCCUGCACUGACACUCAUGCACGAAAGCGUGGGGAGCAAACAGG